rnacentral:rRNA from 1 species
AUGCGAUAAGCAAUGUGAAUUGCAGAAUUCAGUGAAUCAUCGAAUCUUUGAACGCACAUUGCGCCCGCCAGUAUUCUGGCGGGCAUGCCUGUUCGAGCGUCAUUU